CUCCUCGUUGCACAGGACAUCUUGUUCUAAGGCAAUCGUCGCGGGGUGGAGCAGCUCGGUAGCUCGCUGGGCUCAUA
rnacentral:tRNA from 1 species